CCACGGAUCUGGCCAGCCGCCUGCAGUAUUCCCAGCAGCGUGUGGGUGAGUUGGAUUGGAC
ensembl:miRNA